CAGUGAAUUUGUUUCAGAUAUAAAUUUGAAUGCUGCUUCUCCAUGUUUUGUUUUGACUUUGGAGAUAUAAAAGUAGCUGGCUACUGUCCCAGAUGUCCUGAGAGGUCUGCUCUGGAUGGUUCAUAGUGCAUCAGAAGAUUAGAAAUUUACUUUGGCCUUAAAAUGUUAAUUUAAUAACCAACUGUAGUUGUUGGAUAUUAAUUUUUUGACAGACAGAUAGCCAGUGUAAAAACCUCAGAACUGGAGUGAUGUAAUCCACUUUAUUUGAUUUAAAGACACUGUUUAUUGGAAAUUAUCCUGCAAUCAGUCAACAAAGUACAGCAAUUGAAUAUACAGAACACUUGUCAGUGACUACCAUUAAAUGUCUUGUUACCAACAUUCAUCAAAAUAUAUUUUUUUGUGUGUGUUCAACAGAAGAAAGCCAUACAGGUUUGGAACCAAGUGAAAACGCAGUGAUGACCAGCUUUCCAUCAGCUACGGAAUGUGAAAUAAAAAAUGCUAUUUCUAAUCAUUUCAAACAAGCACCAGGGAGGGCAGGGGGUGGGGGUUAUGGAUCUAAAGUAAACAGUUAAUUCUUAAAAAUUAAUUGUUUUACAUAUUUUUCCAAUGUUUUAUUUGUUAAUUUUUAUGUUUGAAUGUUGUCCAAGUUGUUGUUGUCUAUAUAAUUGUUCAAAAUAAAUCCCUUUAUAUUCAAUUAGUUUGGAUGGAUUUUCAUUUAUGAGAACCUGUUAUAUUUGAGUGAAAAGAAUCCUUA